UUGUAUAUGAGCGCGAGCGGCGGGCUCUCGGGUCUUUUUUAGCGCCAUCUGCUCGCGGCGCCGCCUCCUGCUCCUCCCGCCGCCGCCCUGAGUCACUGCCUGCGCAGCUCCGACCGCCUGGCUCCCCGUGCUAGCCACCGAUAUUUGGAGUUCUUACAACAUGGCAGACAUUGACAACAAAGAACAGUCUGAACUUGAUCAAGAUUUGGAUGAUGUUGAAGAAGUAGAAGAAGAAGAAACGGGUGAAGAAACAAAAAUCAAAGCGCGUCAGCUGACUGUUCAGAUGAUGCAAAAUCCUCAGAUUCUUGCAGCCCUUCAAGAAAGACUUGAUGGUCUGGUAGAAACACCAACAGGAUACAUUGAAAGCUUGCCUAGGGUAGUUAAAAGACGAGUGAAUGCUCUCAAAAAUCUUCAAGUUAAAUGUGCACAGAUAGAAGCCAAAUUCUAUGAGGAAGUUCAUGAUCUUGAAAGAAAGUAUGCUGUUCUCUAUCAGCCUCUAUUUGAUAAGCGAUUUGAGAUCAUUAAUGCAAUUUAUGAACCUACGGAAGAAGAAUGUGAAUGGAAACCGGAUGAGGAGGAUGAAAUUUCGGAGGAGCUGAAAGAAAAAGCCAAGAUUGAAGAUGAGAAAAAGGAUGAAGAAAAAGAAGACCCCAAGGGAAUUCCUGAAUUCUGGUUGACUGUUUUUAAGAACGUUGACUUGCUCAGUGAUAUGGUUCAGGAACAUGAUGAACCUAUUUUGAAGCACUUGAAAGAUAUUAAAGUGAAGUUCUCAGAUGCUGGCCAGCCCAUGAGUUUUGUCUUAGAAUUUCACUUUGAACCCAAUGAAUAUUUCACAAAUGAAGUGUUGACAAAGACAUAUAGGAUGAGGUCAGAACCAGAUGAUUCUGAUCCCUUUUCUUUCGAUGGGCCAGAAAUUAUGGGUUGUACAGGGUGCCAGAUAGAUUGGAAAAAAGGAAAGAAUGUCACUUUGAAAACCAUUAAGAAGAAACAGAAACACAAGGGACGUGGGACAGUUCGUACUGUGACCAAAACAGUUUCCAAUGAUUCUUUCUUUAAUUUUUUUGCCCCUCCUGAAGUUCCUGAAAGUGGAGAUCUGGAUGAUGAUGCUGAAGCUAUCCUUGCUGCAGACUUUGAAAUUGGUCACUUUUUACGUGAGCGUAUAAUCCCAAGAUCAGUGUUAUACUUUACUGGAGAAGCUAUCGAAGAUGAUGAUGAUGAUUAUGAUGAAGAAGGUGAAGAAGCAGAUGAGGGUUAUCAGCUCUUUGAAGAAGUCAAAAGCUGCAGUAAACUUUUUCAACGUUGGCUGCAGUAAAUCUUUUCAAUAAAAGCUCUCUGGAUGUCUCAAGUUGUGUUGGGAAAUUUUUCAUAUUAGAAGCUUUCAAUUAAAUUGCAUUUUCACCCUACUCUGUAAUCAUGAAAAUCUUUUGACCCAUAGAGUAACUUGUAUUAAAAUUUCUCCAUACGUUAUGAGCCAUUUCUUUCUACUGUGUACCUACUUCAUGGAUGCAUUUUGAACUUUAAUAUAGGAAGGGGAAGAAGAAGGAGAUGAGGAAAAUGAUCCAGACUAUGACUCAAAGAAGGAUCAAAACCCAGCAGAGUGCAAGCAGCAGUGAAGCAGGAUGUAUGUGGCCUUGAGGAUAACCUGCACUGUAAUAGCCUAAACACAACUAUUAUUUACUUAGAGCCUUAUGUUUUUGUAUUUUCUUGGUAGACUCAGUAAUUUUUUUUAAAGGAAAGGAACUGAUAAUUUUAAAGACCAAUUUGUUCUACUUAUCAUUUCAACUCUAGUUUUUCUGCCAGAUCUAUUGAUUGCACAAAUUCUUUCACGCAUGUUCAUUCAUCACUACAUGGUUUGGUUCUUCUGGAGUAAUUUUUAUCAUGUAACAAAGAUUUUAGAUUACAGCUAUGAAAAUGAACAGAACUGUUAAACUUUUUUUUUUUGCUUUGCUAGUUUUUUUCCUGAAGAACCAAAGUAUUUUUUUCAGCUGGUAGUUGAAUUGGGUUUACGUUUGCUUGCACUAGCUGUGCCUUUCAUUACUUUGUUGUAGAAAUGCAGUGACUUAGACUAAGACAAUUCCUCAUUUAAAAAACAAAAGCAAAACUUGUUGAGACAAAUAUAUGGUUAAGAAUUUCCAGUAAGACCACAACUGAUAACUUAGAUUAUUAAUGGAUUUUUGUAUUUUAGGUGACGUAGUUAGAAACCUAGUAAGGAAACCAUAGUAAAGAAACCUAACUCAUAGUGUGGUUAUUGGUUAUUGUAGGGAAGUGAAUAAAACCUAUUUUCAGAAGUUAAGCCUCGUUAUUUUAACAGUACUUUUAAAUUUAAUUUCCAUUAACUAAGCAUCUUUUCUUUAUGGUAGGGUCUACCUUCUGCUUCCCUGGAAAGGAUGAAUUUACAUCAUUUGACAAGCCUAUUUCAAGUUUUUUUGUUAUUGUUUGUUUGCUUGUUUUUGUUUUUGCAGCCUAAAAUAAAAAUGUCAAAUAUAAUUUUAGUUCUCACAAGAUAAUGUCUUAAUUUUGUACUAAUUCAGGUAGUAGCAGAGGCCUAGCUUGAAUUAAGCAUUGUACCCAGUUGACCAUAUUACGGAAGAGAAGUGUGUCAACUUUGGGAGAGGUACUACAUCUGCUCAUUAAGAAAGUAUAAAAAAGAAAGACAAAAUCUUAAAUGAUGUAAUGUUUUUUUAAAACAUUAAAAGGUUAAAAUUUUAUUUCCUUUGAUUAGAGCUAGAGAGAAGGCCCCAAGCUUCUGUGGUUCAUUCCGAUUCUUACUGCUUUUAAAGUAUGAGUAUGUCAUUUACCCAUGCUUCUGUUUACUAUGUAUUAAAAUGGGUAGUACUGUUUACCUAACUACCUCACAGAUCUGUUAAGGCAUAUUAAGUUAGAUUUUAUGAAAUGUUUCUCGAUCUCAUUAAAAGCUCAAAAAUUUGGACCUGUUUGUACCACAAGUAUGAUAUUCAGCAUUUUAUUCACACCAGGGUUUGAUAAUUCAACUGGAAAACAAAGGUUUAAGUACCUCUAUUCUGGAUCUGGUCAGGCAACAUUCUUGCAGAUCUUUGUGUGGCUCCUAUCUUGAUAGAAGCUGUUAGAAGAGCAACUCUUUGAAAAGGUCCAAGGAUUGUUUUUAGGUAUUUUAGUUAUGACCAUAUUGUAGUAAAAUACUACAGAGAUCAUGGGACUAACAUAGGAAGAAGACCAUUUUUAGUUGGGGGGAAAUGCCAUUAAAUUUGAGUCUGUAGAG